GGUAGUUCAAUCUGGGUGUUUCUCUGAGUCAUACACAACGUGAUAUGACUAGAGACACAUUCAGCUUGGAUGUGUG
rnacentral:pre_miRNA from 1 species